CUAAGAUAUAAAGGGGCAGCCUGUGUUGCCCAGAUGUUGUCACACUGCCCACUCUCAUCAUGCCUGACUGUUGGUCAUGCUGGCUGGAGCUGAAAGGAGUUGGAGUCCCACAUCUGGAAGACCACAGGUUCUCCAUCCCUGCCCUAAGAUCUACUGCAACGUAUUGUUUGACGUGACACUGUCAUAGUGUGGACAUUGUCACACUGGAGGGAACCUCCCACAGUGAUAGUUUCAUGCAAAGAGGUGGACUGUCGAAGAUGUUACAAUGGACAACCAAGACGAGGACAGCCUUGUGUAGUGGCAACCAUACUUUGUUCUUCACACUUGAAAAAGGGAGGUGAGAAAUGCAGCCUUUCUUCUCUGUGCUGGCAUAUCGCUGGAUAAGCUUGUUUCACUGACUUCUCAUAUAUGUGUGUACAAGAAUAUGAGGAGUCUUGUAUCUCGUUCAGAGGCCCUUGGCUCUCUGACAUGUGUGAGUCUCUUGCCCGUGGCAACACUGCCUUGGGGGGGGGGGGGACAGAAAGACGAUGCCAGGGCAAUAUAAAGGCAAAGCUAAAAUGAUUGAGUCUAAGUGGCAGAACCUAUAUGUGUCUUUUAAGACAUCUGACAGCCAAACUGCACAUCCCAAGUUAUACUCAGGCACAUAAUUAGAGAUGACAGAGAAGUUCUUUAGAGCCAGUCUAAGAGAUCAACUCUGAGGGAUGGUAAAGCCCCUAUCAAACAAGAGAGAAACUUUUAAAGCCCUCAAAUUAUUUGCCUUCUCAGAUCAAAAUCUGAGCCGAAGAAUUCUGAGUGUCAUACCUAUUGGAUAUUCUGUGUGUGAGAGAAUCAUUUGUUCCCGAAACAGGGAAGAACAGAGAAGAAGUUUCAAGAAGCAGCAAAAGGCUGAGAUUGUUUUGUCUAUGCAAGGACAUUUUCUGUGGGAACCGUUCCUUGGACAUGCGCAGUAUGACAGGAAGUACUGAUAUCAAUGGUUCUGUGUAACUUGUUGCAACUUGUUGUAAGUCUCUUGCUUGCGUCUUGCGGUGAGAGAAGCAGAGAGAGAGAGUCUUGGACUCUUGUUGGACUCUAAGCAUGCCUUGACCAUGACAGUCUGUAUAUAUUUGCUAC